rnacentral:lncRNA from 1 species
CGCUCACCGACCACUCUCUCUCUCUCUCUCCCUUUCCAUUACAUCGAAUUUUCCUUUGUCACCCUCCGCCAUCCUUCGCAACAACUUUACUUGUUCAUACCGAUACUCUCUCUCUCUCUCUCUCUCUCUCUCUCUCUCUCUCUCUCUCUCUCUCUCUCUCUCUCUCUCUCUCUCUCUUGUGCUUACAGAUAUAGACUGCAGUUAUAUGCUUUUCUUGCCUAUCUGACUGUCUAUUCAGCUACCUACCUAUCUAUCUAUUUGUCUGCCUACCUGUCUUCCUACCAUCUUGCCUAUUAAUUCACCUUUUCUGCCUACCUGCCUGCCUGCCUGCCUGCCUUCUUCCUUAUUUUUUAGCCUACCUUCUUCACUUCCUUGCACCGCCGCCGCCUCCUCAGCAUCUCUUAUCUUCCAGACGAGAAAAUGCAGGGAGGUUUUCUCAGUUCAGGUCCGUGCGUGUGACUCUCGCACAAAAGGUACAAUUGAAGUAAAUGUUUUGAGCGAAGACAUCAAAUCCUCUUACUCUUAUCAGGUCCUCCCAUGUUGUUUGUUCCCUUUGUGCGUGUGUGAGGGGGAAGUUCAGGUGAGGUGAAUGGGUCUGUAUUUGAAAGUUUAUUGUAUUCAUCUCACGUAGUUCUUCAAAAUCCACCGGGGUCCUGAAACUUGCUGCAGGGUGGUUGAUAUUUUGCUUGGGCCGAGAGAGAAAGCUCGAAGAAUGAUAAUGUAUAACAAGAACCUUCUAACCAGUCUCCCCUUUAACAGGUCUCUGGGCGGGAUGGGAAGUGUGUCGCCAUCUCCGUUUUCCUUCAAGCAGUGUGGGAGUAAGUACAUCCGUUUUCUUUCUUAUGACAUGGACAGGAUACUCUUUUUUUUUUUUUUUUUUACGUCACUUCAGAAACACUGCCCUUCCACCGCGACUAUUUCCAAAGGUCACACAGAUGAUUAGCCAGGCCUAUGAAGAAAGACAAGUGGUACAUGGAAAUCAAAACGACAAACACAAAUUAACAAGACAACAAACACGAGAGGGAACGUCAAAUCAAGACAAUGCAACGAAAAUAAAGUCGUCAGAUAAAUAAAGAAAACCAAGGAAGGGAAGAAUUAACUCACAGGCAUGUGGGCGGAACGCGAACAGUCUUCCAACCAGAACUAUUGACUCGUAAAGAAGAGAAUAUUGUGUGCGUCGUAAGUAAACCUGAAUUUAAAGAAGCUUAUUACAAAGUACUAUUAGGAGACACGACAUUACUGGCCUGCCUUGAUCCCGGAGAGAGAGAGAGAGAGAGAGAGAUGAUUACAGGUCUGAAUUUGUUAAGGGUAAAGAAGAUCUAAGCAGGUGCGGAGGUGGGCUGAGCCUGCGCGGGAUUUGAACCUCUCUCCUGUCCCGCCGUGAUGGAUGGGGCGGGAGGGAGACCACUCUGAUUUUAGCCUUCCCAGGAGGGAGAUAAAGAGCAAGGGGACCGGAGGGGUAGGGAGGAAAGGUAAGGAGGGAGGGAGGAGGCCAGGAGCAGCAGGGACCCGGGAGGAGGAAGGGCAAGAGGGAAAAUAUGAGACUCGAACAGGAAUGAACAAAUUGGUUUUUCAUAGUUGGGAAGGAGGAGGAAUAGCGAGUAGGGAGAAAUGGAAAGAAUGUCUGGAGAGAGAGAGAGAGAGAGAGAGAGAGAGAGAGAGAGAGAGAGAGAUUUGGAAAUCUAAACACCUAAACGCGGACGCAAUAACAUACAAAACACGCCUCGCACAUUACACUGACACAAUACCAAUAACAAAAACUGCUAUACAUCUCACACACACACACACACACACACACACACACACACACACACACACACACACACACACACACACACACACACAAAAAAAAGCAAAAUAAACAAAUCUACUAAAACAACAAAGAUGAAAGUCACAUUUUCUUUAUUUAGUUUUAACAGAAACUGAUGAACAAACGCGCGUAUUGAAAGUCGAAGAGAUGGAAACUAUUAGAAGGCAGAGAAAAUAUUUACUUCAGACAAUCUUCCCUACCCGUUGUGGCCCAAAGAUACGACAUAACUGGCUCCCUCCUUGGAGUAGCAGACAAGGGAAGAAAGAAAGGAAGGAAGGAAGAUAGAAAAAAAGAAGAAAUACACACGGAGAAAGGAUGCCCAGUAUAAAAGAAUAACGAAAGGAAGAGGGAAGCAAAACGAGGAAGGGAGGAAGAAGGGAGAAGAAAGGCGAGAAGACGUGAAGGAGAAAAGAGGUGGCCCAGUAACCAAGACCAAUUUUCCUUCAUCCGAAAAGUGCCAAUAGUGGAGACGAACGGUGCCGAACGUCGCUAAGUCGAGCGGAUGAGCGAGAAAAAAUAUAAAUAGCAGGAAUAAAAGAUACGAUAAAGAGAGAGAGAGAGAGAGAGAGAGAGAGAGAGAGAGAUAGAGAGAGAGAGAGAGAGAGAGAUUCCCUUCGCUCUAAAUCCACUAAUCCUCCAUCAUAUUUUCAUUUUCACUUACCACCUCUCUCUCUCUCUCUCUCUCUCUCUCUCUCUCUCUCUCUCUCUCUCUCUCUCUCUCUCUCUCUCUCUCUCUCUCCUGGUAUCCUUUUCCUGAUUCGUGAUCAAUGAUAAUUUUCUUUAUCAAAAAUGAGGUGUGUCGAUUCUCUCUCUCUCUCUCUCUCUCUCUCUCUCUCUCUCUCUCUCUCUCUCUCUCUCUCUCUCUCUGGUAACAUUACAACUUUUACCGUCUCCUUUCCCUUUAUUUUCUUUCACUCUCUACCUUUUUCUUAUUAUUUCCUCCUCCCCCCUUGGUUCCUCCUCCAAUCUCCCUCUACUUUUCUUCACUUUCUUACUUCCUUCGUCAUCCAGGGUCUCCUUCUUUCUUUUACACUUUUUUUUCCCUUUCUUUUUUGUGUUCUAACUCCUUUUGUUUGUUUGUUUUGUUUUUUUUUUGUGUUUGCUAAUUACCUUGUCAGCCUUUUUUUCCUUCGUUUUACUUCCUAUUUACUCCUUUCUUAUCUCUGUCACGCCACUGAUUUUCAAGUCUGAGGGAAAAAAGAUUUAUUCUCUUAAUAUUCACUUAGCCUCUGGGAUGGACACUGGAAGGUGAGAGACAGACAGAUAAAGGUUUGUGUGUCUUUGAAUUAGUAAAUCAUUGACAGAAACUUGGCAUUUUAAGUUACAUUCUCAUUUAUCACGAAGUUUAUCCUCAGAAAGAAUAAGAUCCUCAAAAUAAUAUGAAAGAAGUAAACUAUUAAUUCUAUUUAGAUAGGCUAUCAGUAAUCACACGUUUCCUUGAUUAUAGGCAAAUAAGUAAUUAGCCACAAUUCAAAUUAACUCUGUGUGUGUGUGUGUGUGUGUGUGUGUGUGUGUGUGUGUGUGUGUGUGUGUGUGUGUGUGUGUGUGUGUGUGAGA